rnacentral:snRNA from 1 species
GUGCUCGCUUUGGCAGCACAUAUACUAAAAUUGGAACGAUACAGAGAUUAGCAUGGCCCCUGUGCAAGGAUGACACGCAAAUUCGUGAAGUGUUCCAUAUUUAA